GGGAACAUGUGUACUAAGUUUCAAGUUGAUGUAACUUUAACUUCAUCAAAAACUACCUUGACCAAAAACUUUAACCUGAACUUUGCACUAUCAUUUUCUAUGUUCAGUGGACCAUGAAAUUGGGGUCAAAACUAUAAUUUGGCAUUAAAAUUAGAAAGAUAAUAUCAUGGGGAAUAUGUGUAUUAAGUUUCAAGUUGAUUGGACUUCAGCUUCA
rnacentral:lncRNA from 1 species